ensembl:antisense
CGCGCCCGAGUCUCGCGUCAGCACCACGGCCAGCUCCAGGUUCCGCGCCGCCGUGGGGGGCGGGCCUCCGGGCACCCGCGCGCACCACCAGCCUUGGCUCCGCCGGGCUUGGGAGGGCGGUGACCAGAGGAUGCUGGCGAGCAGCGGAGGAGCGAGGGGACUCAGCCGCCACUGCGCCGCCGCCACCCAGAAUUGCUGGCUUUGUUCUAGCUCUCUCCCUCUGCCCACCUAGCUGCUCCCAUAAUGCUGUGGGUUUUGCAUCCCUAAACCCCUGUGGUCCUCAGUCUGGGGGUCCUGUAUACCAGGAGACUACAGGUGUGGGUGCCCCGCCCUCCUGCAUCCCGAAGGUCCAGGACCCGCUAACUCCAGCUCUCUCCAAAAGACGAUGUCACACACAGCCUUUCUAGCUGUCUUACUGAAGAUUCGGGAUUCUAAGGCUUGGAAGAAUGAGCAAGUCAAUGUGGGGAGGAAGAAAAAUCAUAAAUUAAAAGAGACAUUUCCUUUCCACGC